AGCAGCCGCGGUAAUUCCAGCUCCAAUAGCGUAUAUUAAAGUUGCUGCAGUUAAAAAGCUCGUAGUUGAAUUUCGGGACCAUCAUGUCGGUCGUGCCUCGGUACGUACUGGUAUUGUUGGUUUCUCCCUUCUGACGAACCAUGAUGUCAUUUAUUUGGUGUUGUGGGGAAUCAGGACUGUUACUUUGAAAAAAUUAGAGUGUUUAAAGCAGGCUCACGCUUGAAUACAUUAGCAUGGAAUAAUGAAAUAGGACGUUUGAUUCUAUUUUGUUGGUUUCUAGGAUCGACGUAAUGAUUAAUAGGGAUAGUUGGGGGCAUUAGUAUUCAAUUGUCAGAGGUGAAAUUCUUGGAUUUAUUGAAGACUAACUACUGCGAAAGCAUUUGCCAAGGAUGUUUUCAUUAAUCAAGAACGAAAGAUAGGGGAUCGAAGACGAUCAGAUACCGUCGUAGCCUUAACCAUAAACUAUGCCGNCNAGGGAUCGGAUGAUGUUAAUUUUUUAAUGACUCA
rnacentral:rRNA from 1 species